ACAUAUGGGGUUGGAUCUCAAGGACACUGGGGAGUCAAGGCACGUGAGCGGCAGAAUGAAGCCCUUUGCUACCAAGACCCCUACAACUGGCUCAAUGGUGUACGAGGCUGAUGGGGAGCAAGGAGGAACCAUCCCCUUCUCCCUCAGCAUCUAAGCCACAGCUUAUCUGUUAACUCAGGCAAAAGACCCUGCGGGCAAAGCAACCCGUGAUGAGAACCGAAGCUAUCCCCUCAAGCAGUAAGGACUGCCCUGAAUUCGGCAAGACCCCAUGUGACUGACCCCAAGACAAUGCUCCACCUGACCUUCACUGCCCACCUGCAGGCCCCCACCGACCUUUGUCCCACACUUUCCUUCUAUAAACCUGCAAGUACUUUUAGCAGUUUGGAGACCGUCUUUGAGAUGCUAGCCUGCUGUUUUCCCGGUGGUGGCCUCGCUGAAGUAAAUCCCUUUCUUGUCUCACCAUCUCUCGUCUCUCUGCCUUUGGAUUUUAUCAGCGCUGAGUAGCUGAACCUGGUCUGUUUGGGAACCCCCUGCACCCCAGUUACACCAUCUGAGAGAGGGGCCAAGAAUCCUGCUUUCCCUAUGCCAGGUAAGGCUGCCCCACUGAUCCCCAGUGUGCAUCCCAAACUUUAGUGGACCCACUGGAGUGUUGCCCCAGGCCGGUUCUACCCCUGACUUCAGUAGAGUCCAGCCCCAGGUCCUGUCUGUGGGGGCGGCUGAGGCCCUGGGCCUGUUCUCCUGGGAAGGUGCGGGGUAUGGAGUGGUGUCCGCUGGAAGGCAGGUCGGGGAGGGCAGGUACAAGGCAGUCAGAGGAGCAUUUUUGCUUUUAGACCUGG